AUAAACCUAAUAAAAAUCACAAAGUGUAUAAACAUGAAUUCUCUAUUAAAAAAAUAGACAAAUCACCAAGCAUGAGUGAAGCCUAUUGCAAGUGAGUUCUCCAAAGAACCUGAUUCGUAGGUGACAUAGUGCUAAGCUUAGCCCCUUUGUUUUGGAUCUUAAGAAUGCUCACAAGGCUGGAAAGGAGAAUCACAAACAUUAUGAUUUGUGCCAAUAAAAGAUAACUUAUUUUGAACAAUUAGAAAUAAAUAAAAUUGGUACAAAACCAAUAUAUAAUUUAAUAUCAGUAAAUGUAUAUCACCGUUCACACUUGACAUUUAAUGUCAUCCCAUCUGACAUUAGGCACCAAAACAAAAUGUCGAUAAAAAUGUUAGUAACCAAAAAGACUAAUAAAGAGGAGUUACAAAGUGCUACUAAUAAUUUGAAACUGCAUGUAAAAAAAUAUAGAAAAAUGAUAAUUGUAUGAAACCAAAUUUCGUGAAAAACUCACGAAUGACUUGCGAGAAUUUUUUUCACGGUUGAUGCUUCCAAUAAGUCUUAUUUUUUGGUGUUUCAAUUGUAUCCCAUCCUCAUAGCCACUGCUAAAAAAUUGCAGUUGACUACUAAGAUAAUCCAACAGUAUAUAUAGGAAUAGCAUGGUGCGGCACAUUAUAAGCCGUCACCCAUGAGUGUGAUGAAAUCAACUUACAGAGAGGAUUAAACAUAGACAUAUAAAUUUCAAUCAAUAAUGAUUUAAAAGCAAUUUACAAACCUUGAGAGAUUUAGCAGGCCUUCGCUUAAUAUAUCAAAUCUGGCAAAUCUCUCACCUGUUCAAUUGAACAUAAUAUUAAAUAAAGGAAAAUCAAAUCAAAAUGAAAUCGAAAGAAAGCAGAGCAAUCAAAAUAACAAAGAAUUUGUAUCGAAAAUUUCAUUACGCAAAAUCUGACAACGAUAACGGCACAAAGCGGACGACGGAGUGAUAAGGGAGAAGAUGCGUGGAGGACUACGGCGUAAGCGUUGGGACGCGUGAGGAGGACGAAAGUUUCAGGAUGAAUACGGCAUAAAGCAGACAGUGGCGAGAGAAAGUAGAAGACGCGAGGAGGAGAACGUUUCUUUUAGGCGUGUGGAGGAGGACAAAGUUCUUAUUACAUUCCGUUUUCAUUUGCAGGUAUUAAUGCACCAAAAUAAUAGCCGAGUCAAAAU
rnacentral:lncRNA from 1 species